UACGAAGGGGACUAGCGUUAAUCGGAAUUACUGGGCGUAAAGCGUGCGCAGGCGGUUUUGUAAGACAGAGGUGAAAUCCCCGGGCUUAACCUGGGAACUGCCUUUGUGACUGCAAGGCUUGAGUGCGGCAGAGGGGGAUGGAAUUCCGCGUGUAGCAGUGAAAUGCGUAGAUAUGCGGAGGAACACCGAUGGCGAAGGCAAUCCCCUGGGCCUGCACUGACGCUCAUGCACGAAAGCGUGGGGAGCAAACGGG
rnacentral:rRNA from 1 species